rnacentral:rRNA from 1 species
CUAUCUUAGUGGCGGACGGGUGAGUAACGCGUGGGUAACCUGCCUUACACUGGGGGAUAACACUUAGAAAUAGGUGCUAAUACCGCAUAACAGUAGGAGACGCAUGUCUUUUACUUGAAAACUCCGGUGGUGUAAGAUGGACCCGCGUCUGAUUAGCUUGUUGGCGGGGUAACGGCUCACCAAGGCAACGAUCAGUAGCCGGCCUGAGAGGGUGAACGGCCACAUUGGGACUGAGACACGGCCCAAACUCCUACGGAAGGCAGCAG